rnacentral:rRNA from 1 species
GGGACACGUGGUAUCCUGUCUGAAUAUGGGGGGACCAUCCUCCAAGGCUAAAUACUCCUGACUGACCGAUAGUGAACCAGUACCGUGAGGGAAAGGCGAAAAGAACCCCGGCGAGGGGAGUGAAAAAGAACCUGAAACCGUGUACGUACAAGCAGUGGGAGCCUCUUUUAUGGGGUGACUGCGUACCUUUUGUAUAAUGGGUCAGCGACUUAUAUUCUGUAGCAAGGUUAACCGAAUAGGGGAGCCGAAGGGAAACCGAGUCUUAACUGGGCGUUAAGUUGCAGGGUAUAGACCCGAAACCCGGUGAUCUAGCCAUGGGCAGGUUGAAGGUUGGGUAACACUAACUGGAGGACCGAACCGACUAAUGUUGAAAAAUUAGCGGAUGACUUGUGGCUGGGGGUGAAAGGCCAAUCAAACCGGGAGAUAGCUGGUUCUCCCCGAAAGCUAUUUAGGUAGCGCCUCGUGAAUUCAUCUCCGGGGGUAGAGCACUGUUUCGGCAAGGGGGUCAUCCCGACUUACCAACCCGAUGCAAACUGCGAAUACCGGAGAAUGUUAUCACGGGAGACACACGGCGGGUGCUAACGUCCGUCGUGAAGAGGGAAACAACCCAGACCGCCAGCUAAGGUCCCAAAGUCAUGGUUAAGUGGGAAACGAUGUGGGAAGGCCCAGACAGCCAGGAUGUUGGCUUAGAAGCAGCCAUCAUUUAAAGAAAGCGUAAUAGCUCACUGGUCGAGUCGGCCUGCGCGGAAGAUGUAACGGGGCUAAACCAUGCACCGAAGCUGCGGCAGCGACACUAUGUGUUGUUGGGUAGGGGAGCGU